rnacentral:lncRNA from 1 species
CUUUAUCAUAUUGCAGAACGCAGUGAAUUUCUUCUUUACUGACAGCCUUCUUUUCUUACCUCAAUAGGCAGACGUAGGCGUACACUUGAAAGACAUCUGAAUUCAGAAAAUUCAGUUCCUUCCACUCCCUGAUGGAAUUCACUGUGUGAUCAAAUUAAAUAAAUAAAUGAAAAGGAACACUGGAGGUGUAGAGGAGGUGAUUGCUAAAUAUCAGGAUCUUAGAAGGGCAAGGGCGAAGGGAGAAAAGGAGCAAAGGCAAAAAUAUGACUCUAACGCGGGGCGCAAGCUUCCUGUUCCACACCAACAGACUCAACACAGGAACAAUGCCAGCUGUAGCUGCUUGAAUUCAACAACUGACAGGUGUUCAUGCUCACGUAAACCUGUUUUGCUUAAUACUCUUAGUGGUUUCAUAGGAGGAAAAGUCCCCCACACAUCCCCAGAUAUAGACAGUAGUAAGAAGGUGCCAUGAACAUGAAGCUUACCAAUGUGAAUUCCUCCACUAACAUCCAGCUAUGAAUGCCUAGAACAGGUACAGUGGGGUCUUGACUUGAGAACUUAAUCCGUAUUGGAAGGCGGUUCUCAAGUCAAAAAGUUCUCAAGUCAAAUCUGCAUUUCCCAUAGGAAUGCAUUGAAAACCAUUUAAUCCGUAGCUGCUCUUUUCCGUCCAUAGAAACUAAUGGGAAACUGCUAUUCCGCCUUCGACCACUAGAGGGAGAUAUUUUGUUUCUUUUUUUCUUAGGUCAAGAAAGGUUCAGGGAAGGCAGGGAAAAUACAGUCCAGGCAGUACAGUACCAGGCAGUCCGAAGACUGUCUCCCAAUCCACUCUCUAAACGCUGGGAGGAGUGAGGAAGCAGACAGGCACCCUUUUCACUGGCCAACAGUUAACUGAAAGUUCACUUUUUGCACUUUCCCUGCCUCCCAUGUGGGUUUUUUCAGUUCUUAACUCAAAUCUAAGUACUUAAGUCAAGUCAAUAUUUUCCUAUGAGAGUGGUUCUUAAGUCAAAAUGUUCUUAACUCAAGCCGUUCUUAAGUCAAGACCCCACUGUAUUCCCAAAAGCCCAAAGCCCUAAGCAAGCUAGAGCUUCAGGGAAUUGUAAUCCAAGAGCAUUUGGGGGCCCAGAAUU